rnacentral:rRNA from 1 species
ACGGGAGGCAGCAGUAGGGAAUCUUCCGCAAUGGGCGAAAGCCUGACGGAGCAAUGCCGCGUGAGUGAUGAAGGUUUUCGGAUCGUAAAGCUCUGUUGCCAGGGAAGAACGCUUGGGAGAGUAACUGCUCUCAAGGUGACGGUACCUGAGAAGAAAGCCCCGGCUAACUACGUGCCAGCAGCCGCGGUAAUACGUAGGGGGC